GAAAUAUCUGGAGUCAAGAAGAAUAUUGAAUUAAGUUGAGCGUUAUUAUUGGGUGGGGGGGGGUCACUUAAAAUGAGAGAGGCCUUUAUUUGUGUGGUGGGUAUGUGUGCUUUAGCUAAUUACUUGCAUUUGGAAUGCAUUUCAGGUCGAACAAAGCAAGAAAAGCGGAGUGAGCUCCCACUGCAACUGCUGGUUUUAAAUCCGUCCUCGAAUCGUGCUUUGUUUUCUCUCGUUCCCUCUCCGUGGAAUUGCAUUCAUCUUAAUUGUGGCUCUCAAAUCAUUCUGCAAAUCAAGUCUUUCCAUUCAGGGCCCCUCAACCGAAAACUUGGAACAAUGUCGAGAAGUACCUCCACCCCUGGGUUGGGCUGGUUCCAAUGUUCCAUGCAUUAUUCAUAUCCAUCAAAUCAGGUCUUUGAAGACAGACCUCUCCCAGAAUGUGUGCGUGUGAGAGUGUGUGUUCCACUCUCAUUGUGAAGAUUGAUCUCACAGAUUUGAACCACUCAUCAAUCUAGGACACUCUUAUUGGACACUUCACACCUCCAGAUCAAAUUCAAAUUCGCCCUAUAAAACACAAUGUGGAUCAAAGCCAGCGCCUAUCGAUGAGCAUUUGCUGGGAAAAAUGUGCUGAAAUUCCACUAUGUCCUGAAGGACACUCAUUUCCAUAUGCAAGCAAACCUUGAACGGCCUUGUUGGCUCGCUCUGAAGGCAGAGGAGGAAAACUGGAAAGUGAUUUACAAUAGACUUGGCGCUGACUCAUAAAUUGCUACAGCAGCGAAGGCCCAGUCAAUUUGAACCGAUCUGGCAACUAAAGGCAUUUACUUCUCCAAUCGACGUUCUCUUACAUGAGUACCCCCCAUGUCCAUUCAUGCUUGUCUAGCGCCUGCUUCAUCCCUGCUCCACGCGCAUGUCCCCGAUGGCUUACGUUAAUGGUUGAAGGGGAUAAACCACAAUAUUGAAAUGGAUAUGGCGUUUCGGAGGCCAAGGCGAGUUAAGGAUGGAUGUAUGCAGACAAGCUGCGACAUCCUUGUUGUGAAACGAUCUUCUCCGUUGCCAAAGGCCAGUGAGAGUGAGUGGAACUAGCCACGUGUUGGAGAUAAACAGUUCAACAGUUCCAUUAUAAUUUCAAGCAAACACGAGCGGAGAGCUGGCGUCACAUGAUUCAAGUGUAUACUUCAUUUUCAAAGAGACAACAGGGAGACUGGUUGUUUCCUUUUUCCUGUGUAAACGUACACAAAAAAAGAAGAAGACCCUGUUGCCAUUUUCGUCAGGAACUAGAACUAAAUUUGUGGCUGAAAAUGGGCGUUAAAGUGUCUUUAAAGUGCAUUACAAGCUCUAAGGACUAUCCAGGGACAGUCGGGGUGUACUCGAGUCCAUUUUCCGAGGGUCUUUACAACAAGUUCAAAUAAGGAAACGUGCUUCUUACAAGAGGCACUACAACCCAUUUGGCCAUAAAGUGUGAUGGUUGAGCAAAAUCUCUUUGGAAUAGGAUUCCCCCUUCUUCUUCGUCUUCUUCUUGAGAGUUUCCGUCCUCAGACAGAGCAGAUAACUUCUUAAAUAAAUCCCUGUUCGUUUUCCCCUU